UACAGAGGUCCCAAGCGUUGUUCGGAUUCACUGGGCGUAAAGCGUGCGCAGGCGGUUUGUUAAGUCUGCUGUGAAAUCCCCGAGCUCAACUUGGGAAUUGCAGUGGAUACUGGCAAGCUGGAGUACGGUAGAGGAAGGUGGAAUUCCCGGUGUAGCAGUGAAAUGCGUAGAGAUCGGGAGGAACACCAGUGGCGAAGGCGGCCUUCUGGACCAGUACUGACGCUCAUGCACGAAAGCGUGGGGAGCAAACAGG
rnacentral:rRNA from 1 species